ensembl:snoRNA small nucleolar RNA, C/D box 54
UGGCAAUGAGGAUAAUAAUAUAUAUGACAUAAACAUGAGCUAUAUCAUACGCUAUUCUGAGCCUUUU